AUUGAACGCUGGCGGCAUGCCUUACACAUGCAAGUCGAACGGCAGCACGGGAGCAAUCCUGGUGGCGAGUGGCGAACGGGUGAGUAAUAUAUCGGAACGUGCCCAGUCGUGGGGAUAACGUAGCGAAAGCUACGCUAAUACCGCAUACGAUCUAUGGAUGAAAGCGGGGGAUCGCAAGACCUCGCGCGAUUGGAGCGGCCGAUAUCAGAUUAGGUAGUUGGUGAGGUAAAGGCUCACCAAGCCGACGAUCUGUAGCUGGUCUGAGAGGACGACCAGCCACACUGGGACUGAGACACGGCCCAGACUCCUACGGGAGGCAGCAGUGGGGAAUUUUGGACAAUGGGCGAAAGCCUGAUCCGGCAAUGCCGCGUGAGUGAUGAAGGCCU
rnacentral:rRNA from 1 species